rnacentral:rRNA from 1 species
AGAGUUUGAUCAUGGCUCAGAUUGAACGCUGGCGGCAUGCUUUACACAUGCAAGUCGAACGCGGUCGGGGGGCAACUCCUGACUGAGUGGCGAACGGGUGAGUAAUACAUCGGAACGUACCCCGUUGUGGGGGAUAACCCACCGAAAGGUGGGCUAAUACCGCAUACGCCCCGAGGGGGAAAGCGGGGGACCUGAGAGGGCCUCGCGCGAUGGGAGCGGCCGAUGUCGGAUUAGCUAGUAGGUUGGGUAAAGGCUGACCUAGGCGACGAUCCGUAGCUGGUCUGAGAGGAUGAUCAGCCACACUGGGACUGAGACACGGCCCAGACUCCUACGGGAGGCAGCAGUGGGGAAUUUUGGACAAUGGGGGCAACCCUGAUCCAGCCAUGCCGCGUGAGUGAAGAAGGCCUUCGGGUUGUAAAGCUCUUUCGGCCGGAACGAAAUCGCAUCUCCUAAUACGGGGUGUGGAUGACGGUACCGGAAGAAGAAGCACCGGCUAACUACGUGCCAGCAGCCGCGGUAAUACGUAGGGUGCGAGCGUUAAUCGGAAUUACUGGGCGUAAAGCGUGCGCAGGCGGCUCUUCAAGUCAGAUGUGAAAGCCCCGGGCUUAACCUGGGAACUGCGUUUGAAACUGGAGGGCUAGAGUGUGGCAGAGGGAGGUGGAAUUCCACGUAGCAGUGAAAUGCGUAGAGAUGUGGAGGAACACCGAUGGCGAAGGCAGCCUCCUGGGCCAACACUGACGCUCAGGCACGAAAGCGUGGGGAGCAAACAGGAUUAGAUACCCUAGUAGUCC